rnacentral:tRNA from 1 species
UGGCUCAGUUGGUAGAGUGCUUGCCUUGCAGGCACAAGACCCUGGGUUCAAUUCCCAG